GGUUUGCGUGUUCCAGCCCGAGCUCGUCCAUCUCCUCUCUCUUCCUGAGUUCCUUUGCUUAAUUGAGCUCUUUUGAGUUGAUUAAGUAAAGAACUCAAGUGCUAGCUCAACCAAAAAUAAAUCCUUUAGCAUUUAGUGAAGUUCUUUAAAUCUGAAAAUCCCAAAAAUAUUUCCCUUGAAUAAAGUUAUGGCACGCUGAAUGACAAACAGUUGUGGUGGUUUAAUGCCCUGCAAGAACGACUAACCUCUCUAUUAAUUGUCAUAUCCUUCGGGUAUUGUGUACUAACAUUUUGCAAGAAUCAUGUUCGAGAAAGCAAAAGAAAAUAUCAAGAAGACGUUCUCGAAAAGCUCGAGAAGUUCACGGAGUUCGUCUUCCUCGUGGGGAAAUAUGUCGGUCGACUCCGGUCGCCAUACAAAUGUGUCCCGUGAGGAAGAGGAGUCUCCAGCAGUCCCGAGGCACCGUCUCCACAUCAGGGUCCUGACGAUGGUUGAGCAAAUCGUCGUUAAGAACGACUACGAACGGGAGGCCCUGGAGCUACUGAAGAGGCAGAACUUUGACCAUGCCAAGCGGUUCGAGUCACGCUUCCUCAUGAAGAUGGGACUCAAGUAGGACAUGAACAAGGCCUUCACUGCUAUCGGAUUGGAGAACUUUGUCGACAUCGUCGAACCAGCUUGCCCGAGCUACAGUACUUGUACGCCACGGCGAAGGAAAUUUGCUGCUCUCCAAUAAGAACCAUGCUCGCCCACUGGCAGAAGAUGAUCUCCGGCAGAAGCCCCAUCGAUAUGACCUCCCUGGUCACUCGCAUUGCGAGGUACGUCGGUGUGUUGGACAAUGCCGAGGUCAUCUUCAUGCCAGAAACCGAGGCAUUCAGGUAUGAGGUUGGCCUCGAGCACUUUGUGUAGGGACACAUGAUGCGCGAAGGGCCCGGAAAUUCCAUUUUUAUGUGUUACCCCAGGUACGACAGAGAGAUCGAGCUCCCAUGCCUGAGACUCUCUCUCUACGCAGUGAAGAGCCUAACCUUGCAGAUGGAGAAGAAGGAGCCCGCACGACGGAGUGUUGCAGGUCCUCAGACGAGAAGCAGAACCCGGCUGGACCAACCAGCCGGAGCAGGUUCAUCGCGUCAAGUGCCCCCGGUUUCCACUACUACGCAGCCCGGACCAUCCACCCAGAACAUGAGCUUCGAUGAAGCCUAUGGGUACUAUGCCCAUGGCGACCCGAACAUGUUCCAGGCUGGCAGUAGUGGGUACACCGGUGAUCAGGGACCGUACUACCCCGCAGGUAUGCAUCCGUCUUAUGGUCCACAGGUGGGUCCUUCGGCAUCAGCACGCUUCAACUAUGAAGACCCGAUUAUGCGAAGCAUCUCCGACCUCUAGAACCAGAUCACCACACUCAGCACACAGCAGCAGCAGCUGCAGAACACCAUCGCACACAACACCCAGUUGACUCAGCAGAACUGGGGGCUGACUUCAGCAAUGCAGUACGACGUCUCCAACAUCUUCCUCCACAUGGGGUUGGACCAUCAACCGUCCCAGCCGUACUAUCAGCCCCAGCAAUACCAGCAGCCUGAACAAGAGGACAACGACGAUGAGGAUGAGGAAGAGGACGAGGAGGAUCAGGACUCCGAUGAGGAGGACUGAGCUUCUUUGAAGCUUGGGGAGGGGGGGGUCAUACCGUCAGGUAAGUCACCAUAUCUCGACCGUCUUUUAAGCAGCCAUGCCAUGAUAGUAUGCAUCUAAAAAAAUAAAAUAAUAAUAAUAAUAAAGAAUAAUCUCAUAUGAGUGGAAAUCCGUGUAAGCUCUUGCCUUGGAAAUGAUGAAUAGUUGCUCUGUUCAUGCCUUGUAUGUGCCUCGUUUACAACUUUUUACUCUCCUAGUACAUGAGCUAGUUGGCACAUUUUAGUUCCACUGAAAAAUGGUUGAGUGGAGGCAUGAGUUUAAUUUCCGAAGUCUAAGUUGUUGCGGGAUUUGAGAUAGCCCAAAUCGGAUUUAAAACUGCUUGCUCUAGUAGGGAACCUCUCGGAAUCUUUUGAAAAUUAAAAUUUUGGUGAAGGUUUCCCAUAUGGUUUUAAUGACCCAUCCAAAGCCAUACAUGCUAUAUAAACCAAAAUGAGCUAUCUUGUGUUAUCAUGAGCUUUGCCGAACGAUAUGUCCGUCAAGGAAAUAGAACUUGCCAUCUGCCGAUCAAUUUCCUCCAUAUACCCAUCGUCUGCUAGCCUCACAUGUCUGGCCUGCUAAUCACCCAUUCCGGGAUUAACAUCCACUGUCAGACAUCCUUUCCCCCGCAAUCAUACACCAAAAGUCUCCACCAUACAACUGAUCAUCCCAUAUAAGGACUUCUCAUCAUGAAACUCCAAAGUUAUUAGAAUCAUUUCAGCAAAGAGAGAGGGGAUCUUCCCUAAAAAAAAUGAGAGAAGAAAAUCCCACUCUCCCAAAGAGUUGCAAACAAGGAGUUCAAAUAAAAAGACCAAAUUUCCUUCCUAGUGUGAGCCCAUCUCUUUCCAUCCUUUGACACCUCACAAAGAUCGGAAUUUGGUUAAGUUCAAAUCCUUCCCGGAUCAUCAUUCGACUCGGCAAUAUAGGUAACCAAGGUAUGCGACACUCUCCCUACCUACAAACUCCACAUAUCAGCCUUAGGAGUAGGAAAAAGAGGGACAAAAACUCCGAACCCAAGUGAGGAUCAUACACAUUGAGUGACUCGAGAGUACCAUUGGGAAACCAGAGUUGUUUUUGAAAAUCUUGCAAAAACUCCGAGAGAGGAACCUGAAUAAGCAGCAGAAAAUAUUCCUUCAACCGCUCAAGACCAAGGGAUGAAAACAGAUACGCCCCAUCUACCAGAACCUUAGGUAUGAGCCAACUUACUCAUAGUACAUACGGGACGAGUAAUAUGUUGUGCACAAGGUACCUGCAGGGUGUGAACAUCGAUGCAACUCCUGAUCCACCGAGCCUCAAUUUGAGCUUUGCUCGAGGAUGAACAAAAGUUUAAGCUUGGGGGUGUUGACGGCCAUUAUUUCACGUUCUGGCCGUCAACUUCUCGGGAAUAAACAAGCUUUACACUAUAUUCCAUUCAUAUUUUGAUUAAUUCUAAUAAGUUCCACGAGUUUUGGAUGAGUUCUGAUUUAAGGAGAAUACAUGACAAAAAGAAACGAAUUUGGGCCAAAACCCAGGCCGACCGACCUAUCCUAGGCCGGCCUGGCACCCCUACAAACCCCGCCACGUCUUCGAUCCAGGGGCAUUGUCAUGGACUCAAGUGUAUCUGAGCCAAGGAUUGGACGUCGGUUUGAUCGAAUGGACUGAAAGGCUUGCACAAGGAUCAAAGGCCCCACCAUUCAGCGCAAAGACCUGUCCAAGUCAGCAAUCCACCUCCCUGAAAGAUCACAAGCGUCCACUAGCAACGUCGGUGCAACAGAGGGCCGAGAGGAGCCAGAGGGAGGCCGGCCGCCCUCCCCUAGGCCGGCCGGCCUGGUCUUGUCUGCUUUCGGGCAAUGCAAGCUACACCGACUCCAGGAGGCAAUCAAGAACGUCCACGCAAAGGCGGUGGCCAGAUGGCCAAAAUCCUAGGCCGGCCGGCCUAGGAGAGGCCGGCCGGCCCCACUCUGCAGCCACUCAGGCUCUGGCUUCAUGUGAAGGUUAAGCACAACUGUCACAACCGCCUCCAACCGACGCCACGUGCCUCACCUGCUCAGAGCCGAUCUUGGAAGGGCUAUAAAUAGAGCACUCAUCUCUCACUUGUAACACACACCUUGGAGCUCAUUUCUCUCUUCACUUUCAAGAGUAGGAUUAGUAGUUUAGGAGUUAGAGUCGAGUCGAGCUUGCUUGGGAUUUCGGAGUCCUCGGAAGUCUGGUAAAGCUCUUGUAUCUUUCUUUCGAAGUUAUCAAUAUAAGUUAUCUUCUCUA